UCCCUGGUGGUCCAGUGGUUAAGACCUUUUGCUCCUAAUGCAGGUGGUCCAGGUUUGAUCCCUGGUUGGGGAA
rnacentral:tRNA from 1 species